rnacentral:rRNA from 1 species
GUGUAUGCUAUGUGUGUUCGGGUGUCUGAUCUCAGAAGCUAAGCAGGAUUGGGCCUGGUUAGCACUUGGGUGGGAGACCACAUGGGCAUACCUGGUGCUGUAGGCU